CAUACAUGCAUGCAAUAUAAUUUGCUUUAGUUCAUCCCUAGUACUUCCUUUUUCCUUCUCCUCCUCCCUCUCUCUGUUCUCUUUCCUCUACUCUACUCAUCUUCCUUCUAUUUGUUUAUUUUUAUCAGUGCAUUAUAAUAUACAUAGUAGUGUAUGCACCAUAUGCAUACAUGUACAUAAUAUAACUUAAUAAAACAUUUGAAGUGAUGUUCAAAAAUACAAAUUUUUACUGAAUCAAAAUUGCUGAAGAUGUGAACUGGAUGUUAUCAUAUUGAAGGAAUUUAUCAGUUUCAAAGAUGAUUCUUUUUACAUUUUAUGUAUUAGUGCAUUAUAGUUAUAUUUAUCAGUGGAGUUCAUUUUGGCAUAAUCAUACAGGUAUAGAAUGUAAUUUGUUCCAUUUAAGUCCCCAGUGUUUCCUGGCUCACUUUCUUCUCCCUCCAACCUGUUCCUCUAUCUCUACUUUUCUUCCAUCUACUUAUUUAUACUUAUUUAUUGUUUUUUUUAAAUUGGUGUUUUAUAGAAACACAUAAAGUGGAAUUCACUGCAGUGUAUUCAUAUCUGUACACAGCAUAAUUUGGUCAAUUCAUUCCUUAGUUUCUCCCUUUUUGCAUCCCUCUUCCUUCUCCCUUUAUUGUCUUGCUCUACUCCACUGAUUUUUUUCUGGAUAUUAAUCUGCUAUCAAAGGAGUAGCUGGCAAAGAUUUUUUUCUCCCAUUUUGUGGGCACUUUAUGAUCUUAUUUCCUGUGCUCUACAAAAUCUUUUAAAUUAGAUGCUGUCCUAUUUACUGACUCUUGAUCUUAUUUCUUGAGCUUUAGGGACCUUGAUAGGAAGUCAGAACCUGCACCAAUAUGUUUUAUGGAUGAUCCUAUGUUUUCUUGUAGAAGUUAUAGUUCCUGGUCUAAUUCCUAGGUUUUUAAUCCACAUUUUUUGCAGAGUAAAAGUUAUGAAUCUAGUUUUAUUCUUCCAUGUAUGCAUAUGCAGUUUCCUAGCACCAUUUGCCAAAAAGGCUACUUUCCCCCGACAUAUAUUUUUAGCACCUUUGUCAAGAAGGAUGACCGUGUCUAUGUGGGUUUUUCUUUGUGUCUUCUAUUUCAUUAAUUUGGUCUUCACAUCUAUAUUAAUACCAAUACCAUGCUGUUUUUGUUACUAUAGCUCUAUAGUAUAAUUUGAGAUCAGUAUUGUGAUGCUUCCAAUGUUGCUCUUUUUGCCCAGUACAGCAUUGGCCAUUCUGGCUCUUUUAUUUUUCCAAAUUAACUUUAAGAUAUUUUUUUCUAGUUCUGUGAAGAAUGCUUUCAGUUUUUCUCCAUUCAGUAUGAUGUUGGCCUUGGGUUUGUCAUAUAUAACCCUCACAACAUAGAGGUAAGUUCCUUCUAUCCCUAGUUUCUCUAGUGUUUUAAAAAUGAAUGGGUGCCGGACUUAGUCAACAGCUUUUUCUGUAUUUAGGGAUUCUCAUCCUUAAAUUUAUUUAUGUGGUAAGUUACAUUUAUUGAUUUGCAUAUAUUAAAACAACUUUGAAUCUCUGGUUUGAAACCCAGCUGAUCAUAGUGCACUAUUUUCUUAAUGUGUUUUUAAAUGUAGUUUGCUAAUAUUUUAUUAAAAAAUUUUACACCUAUGUUCAUUAGGGAUAUUGGUUUGUAGUUUUCUUUCCUUGAUGUGUCUUUGUCUGAUUUGGUGCCAGAGUGAUACUGGCUUCAUAGGAUAAAUUUUGGAGUCUUCCCUUAUUUUCUAUUUCAUGGGAUAAUUUGAGGAAGAUUGUUGUUUAGUUCUUUAGAGGCCGGGUUAAACUUGACUGAGAACUCCUGGUUGUGAUCGUGAGCUUUUAUUUGCUGGAAUGCUUUUAAUUGCUGCUUUAAUCUUAUUGAUAUUAGUCUGUUUAGGUUUUAUAUACCCUCAUGGCUCAAUUUGUGUAGUUCUUAUUUGUAGAAAUUAAUCAAUAUCUUCUAGGUUUUCUAGUGUGUUUCAGUACAAUUUUUCAAAAUAGUUUCUAAUGAUCCUUUGGAUUUCAGAAAUGUCUGGGAUGAUAUUUCCUUUUUCAUCCCUAAUUUUGUUUAUGUGGGUAUGUGGGGAUGUGUAUGUCUGUCUGUCUGUCUCUCUCUCUCUCUCUCUCUCGGUUAGUUUGGCUGAGCAUUAUCAAUCUUGUUUCAAAGAACCAAGUCUUUGUUGCAUUGAUCCUUUGUAUUGUUUUUCUAGUCUCAAUUUCAUUAGUUUAGAUUCAUGUCAUCUUAAUUAUUUCCUGUCUUCUACUGAAGCAGUUUGUUCUUCCUUUUAAUCAUUGAAGUAUUAUUGAAGUGCUUUAAGGAUCAAGUCACAUUCAAUCAACAUGAGAGAAUUAAAAAGGAACCUUCUUCUUGCAAGGUCAAAAAAUCAAUUACUGAUAAAACUCAUAUGUUUUAUAUUUUUAGUGUUCUGUUGAGAGAAGUUCUUUAGUAAGCAUGUAAAAUAAUACUAAUAGCAAUGACAAAAAUCAUAAGAGCAGUUUUCAUAUAGUAAGAAAUACUUUAUGAUGGGCAUUGUUAAAAUUCUGUGCAUGUUAAGAAAGUUAACUUAAUUAUCACAAUCACCCUCUGAAAUAUGUGCUGUAAUUAUCCUCAUUUAUAGAUGAGAAAACUAUAGCAGAGUUAGGAAAUGAUGAAACAAGUAUGAAGAGGUUAAGUUAGACAUAGCACAUAGGACUACACUUAAAUAUUUUUGUUUCCUAUAGAAAAAAAAGGUAUUUGAAUAUCCAUAAAAUACUCAACUUGUGAUAAUUGUCAUUCACCUAAUAUUAUUGGCAUUUCAUCUAGAACAUGUAUUGCUAGCAAUCUAAAGUUUAAGUCAGGUGAAUCCAACGUAUCAUACAGGACAAACCAUUAUACUUGUGAAUAAGAUCGUAGCUCUAAUUUAUCCUAUAUUAUUAGCUAUAUUGACCUUUCUAACCCAAUAAUAUUUUUCUAUUACUAAGGUAAAAGUGUUCAAAUGUGCAACAUAUGUGAAGUUACUUUCUAAACUCUAAAAUGUUAAGCAAUUGUUAGUAGCAUUCAUUUUUAUCUUUCUCAUCUCAUCCACACAUAUAUUUAUAGUACUUUCAGCAUCUAUAAAUUUCUGCAAAUAAAAUAUGCUAAUGAUAGACUCAUUUAGUCACUUAUUCAACAACUAUACAUGAAUAACUUUAAUAUUCAACAAAAUCUAGGGGAACCUGAACAAGUCUACAAUAUGGAAAAAUUUAGAGGAAGCUAAAUAGAUAUAACAAAGCUCACUAUCAAGCCAUGGGAGAAGGAUGGAACAAACUAGGCAGAGUCCAGAAUAUAUGAAGUUCCUGGAGGGAGAAUGAACUGAGAAAUGUUAAGAAAUACUAUGUUUGGAACAUUGUCAUCAGGGAAUAGGAGAAUUAUAAUUUUUCCUAAGAAAUACAAUAUACUGUGAAUAGUAGAGUAAAUAGGAGAAAAGUCUACAAUAUAGAUGAUGUGUUGGAUGAGUUGAAGGCUGGCUCUUAACAAAUCUUGAAAAUCAUCCAUCUAGAAAUAAAGCUGUCCUUUCAAGAGUUUUCCUGGGCUGAGGGAUCCCUUCAAGAAGUAGUAGCAUGUGAAUACAUAACCAACAACAUUUAAACCAAUCGAAGACAAAGGAUUGUUUUGAAACCUAGAGGACGGCAUGCAGUCAUUGUACCUAAAAAUUUCCUCAGUGGCAGAAUUUAUUUUACUUUACUUUAUGAAUAAAAAAAAAUUGCCAAGGACAAUAUUGCUUGAGUAAAUGACAUGAUCCAACAUCAUAAAAUGUGAUGAAGAUGUACAAAUCUAUAAUUGUAAAAUUUGUUUUGUAAACCUAGGAAUGUGAAAGAUUUUGCUUUGGGCUUAAGACUACAAUGAAAGAAUUAUGAAUUACCUUCAUUUGUGAUUAACUUGGAAUAAAUGUGAAAAUCCUAACCUGGAAUUUAAUAACCUAAUGAAGGUUAGAUUUUUUUCCCAUCUGACUGUGAGUAUUCCAAAGAUUAUUACUAACCUUUCAAAGUUAGAAAGACAACUACAGUAUAUCUCCAAAUAAAAGGCAAAUGAGAUAUAUUCUUGAUUGAGGGUUUAGAAAUAGUUUCACAGCCUGAAAGAUUGGCUUUUAUUGGGUUCAAACAGAUCUUUGUACACCAGUGAAUUAUUAUAUAAAUAUAAAAAUGUCAUAUGUCAAUGAGUGAGAUAUCACAGCCAACUGUAGCAACAUCCAGAUAAAUCACUAAAUGGAUUUCUUUAUUCCUUGCGCCUUAUUUUGAAGGGAGUUAACCUUUGGCAAAAACCACCUGCUUAAGAGACAAUGAAUAAGGAGGCCAAAGAAGUCAUCAGUUGACCUUUGAGAGAACAAGAAGAGCUGAGGGAAGGUACAUGUACAAGAGGAUUAGUAAGUCCUCACCAUGAAUUUGCAUCAUUCUGUGGUAUAGAUGGUGAUAUUGUGUGGAGUUGGGUCUAAGCCCAGUGAAGAACAAGGUGUCAAUUGUUAUGUAUCCAUGGUCAUUAUAAAUGAAUACAACCAAUGAGUUACUGAUUUCAGAAGUGUAGCUGUAAAUUCACCAAAUUAAUAUUUUUUAAAAAGCCAUAAGAAAAAUAUUCUUCCUUUUGUCUCUUUCACUCAUUUACUUACCCAAUAUUGUCAUACUCCAACCAUGGAUGUCCUCAAUUUUCUUCAUGUAUUUGCUUCAAUUAUUGCCUUCAAUGGGAAUGUAAAUCAGCCUCAUCUCCAUUGUUCCAUGUCCAUUAUUUCCUUCAAAGUCAGUUCAAAAUAUAUUACAUUCAUGAAGCUCGUCUGACCAUCUUAACCAACUGUUUGUUUAUAGUUCAUGAAUUUCAAAUAAAUAUUUUUUAUUCAUAAACUCAAUAUGCAUUCAGGAAAAGUAUUAAGAACUGGAAAUAAAUGUACAUAAAAACAAAUGGGUCCAAGGGUCAAGAAUAUUAAUGUUUAGAAGGGAAAUAUACAUAAGAUAAACAGCCAUAUUCAGGAAAUUAUUGAGGUAGAAAUGUGUACCAAAAAGUCACGAGCAUAGAAAAAAAGCACUCAAAUAUUCCUAAGAAACUAAGUAAGACUAUCAUGAAAAAAUAUUAAUUAUAUUAUAAACAAUAUGUAGGAGUUUAGAAGGAAUAAAAUAGGGAAAAGAGAGUGAUCCAUGGAGCAGGAAAAACAGUGAGGAGGCAUGGAUGAGAAACUGGGAGGGGUUGGACCAUAGGAUCUCUGUGGGGAGAAUAUAGAGCAUGAAGCAUUUUCUUAAUCCAGAAAGGAGAGUUAUUUUCAAGGAUCAUGAUCAAAAUAUUUAUAACCAGUACAACACAAGACUUAUGGUUAGAAUAUUUACUUAUGAUUAGAAUAUUUAAGUCAUAGCACUGGAGUUACGUUAAAGAGGGAACAGCUGCACCAAGUUUAGAAUUUUCUCCAGUUGAGGGGAAGUCCACGUGGGCCUUGAAGGCAGGAAUCCAGGGUUCUAAAGCAGAGCAAAAGGAAUUACAGGAGUAAGAACAGUGGAAAUUUGAGAACUGAUAUUUUUAACUAAUGAUGCAUAAUAUUAAUAUGAAUAAUAAAAUAUAAAAUGUGAUAGACAAAGGAGCUGGAUAGAGGAAAAUAAGAACAUAGUGUCACUGACUGAAAGUAUGAAGAAAGCUUUUUCUAGUGCUCUCAGGCAGUCUCAAAGUUUUAAAUAACUUUGGAGAUCUCCUGCAAACUCUUCAUUGCUAUAGUCUAAUGUUCACUAUCUUAACAUGAAAUUCCAAUUAAGAUGACUAGGAGUUAAUUAGAUCUAACAAGGAUGUGAUAGGGAUAAAAAGGAAAAGAUCUUUUCAGGAAAAAGUGACUGGGCAAAGGCUCUCCAGUUAGGAUUCGCAUUAUUUAAUAUAAACAAAGGGAAUUAUCCCUUGGAAAAAAUAUUAAUCUCCGGAAAAUUUGCCUUUGAUGAAUAAUUUUUCCUUUAAGGAAAAUAUUAAAUAUUUGUAAAUAUUACUGUAAAUGGAAAAGUUUCUUGUUUAUAACAUUUUUCAGAGGAGUGUAUGUUAUUUGAUUUUAAACAGUUUUUAUAAAACACCAGUUUUCAAACAUUUUUUUCUUUGACAAUAAUUUAGGCAAUUAGUUAUUUUCUUUAUUGGUAAAUGACUUAACUAGUUAAAGUCAAAGGACAAGCAUAGAUAUUAAACCAACAGUUUGUACCAUCCCCCAUUCAAUGUAUCUUUGCCAUUCACACUACAUGGCUACUGCCAAUGGAAUUUUAACAGUCUUUCUGUCUCACAGGAAUUUCAAAAGUAAGGAAUUUGCAGUUUCAAUAAGUUAAUGUGUGAGUUACUGUACAGGCCCACUUAGAUUUUCUGAGAUUUCCUAACAACUCAUUAUUAAAGACAUUUUCUAUUUUAA
rnacentral:lncRNA from 1 species